rnacentral:rRNA from 1 species
CUUCCGUAGGGUGAACCUGCGGAAGGAUCAUUAACGAAAGCUCGAGCGAGGUUGUAGCUGGUCCCGUCCGGGGCGACGUGCACGCCUCGUCUCUGUCUUCAUCUCUCUCACCCCUGUGCACCUCUGCGUGGGUCCCGAGCGUUCGUUCGCUCGGGCCCAUGUCCUUUUACACGAAAAAAACCCUUUGCAUGUAUCGGAACGUCUGACUUUGCCAUCGAGGCAAAACUUGUACAACUUUCAACAACGGAUCUCUUGGCUCUCGCAUCGAUGAAGAACGCAGCGAAAUGCGAUAAGUAAUGUGAAUUGCAGAAUUCAGUGAAUCAUCGAAUCUUUGAACGCACCUUGCGCCUCUCGGUAUUCCGAGGGGCACGCCUGUUUGAGUAUCGUGAAAUCAUCAACCCUACCUCUUUUGUGAAAGGGGGGGAGGGCUUGGACUUUGGAGGUCUUGCCGGUGCCUUUUGGGAUCGGCUCCUCUCGAAUGCAUUAGUGGUGCUCGUCUGCUCUCUCUGCCUCUCGGUGUGAUAACUCAUCUGCACCGACUCGUGUGAGUGGAACGAGCGCCGCUUCCAACGGUCUCGUUCGAGACAAGCUUUUUUUUGAACCCUUUGAUCUCAAAUCAGGUGGGACUACCCGCUGAACUUAAGCAUAUCAAUAAGCGGAGGAAAAGAAACUAACCAGGAUUCCCCUAGUAACUGCGAGUGAAGCGGGAAAAGCUCAAAUUUGAAAUCUGGCGGUCUUUGGCCGUCCGAGU